UCCCUCUGAGGCUUGUUUAUGGACUAAUAGGUGAGCACUAUUGCCUCAUGAAUAGGGACCUGGUGGGACCAGAGGGCAAGAUCCUCACCCUCCAAUACCUGCUUGUAAGAUGUCUACCAUCCUGUCACUAGACAAGCACUGUGCCACCACUAGAAAAUUGAAAUUUGCAAUUCAACCUUGGGAGUGAUAAAACGAUUAGAAACAAGUGAGCUGGAUCAAAAACACUGGGGCCUUGGAACAGAUUCUGUUAAGGAGCCAAGGGAUGCGAAGGAGAACAGAACUAGGUCAAAACAUCCAGCUUACAUAACACAGAAAGACAGGAUUAGGCCUCAGUUGAGCUACAAUCCUAGGAGGGGCUGAUGGCCUUGUUCUGUUCAUGUGAAGAAUCUCUCAUCCUCGAGUGGGGGCCUCCAGGUCUGGAAUCUGUAUUCAAUGAAGCUGAAGAGCUUCUUCAACUCAGGAAUUUGUGUAGUUAACAAAAUGAUUUAUCGAGUGUGACUGAACCCACUCUGUUAGGAGAACUAUUUUUAGCUGUGGCAUAAACUCACCAUCCACAUACCACAGAGGAUGUACAGUGGGUUCAAUAACAGUUUUCAGCCUUCCUCCUAAGGAUGUGGCACUGUGGUCCUGCUUCUCUCUGCAGAACUUCAAUUCUUCAGCUCCAGCAAUGGCAUUGGUAGCAUUUUGUCAGCAGGAGGAGUAUUUGAAACUCUUUUUGACCAGAAGAGUCACUUACUACUUGUGAUCUCUCUGAAAAUGGAUUGCCCAUCAAAAAGAAACAGGGAAGCCAGGACACAUCCUAUGCAGCUCCUCAGAGGCCAUAAGUCAAGCCUUUACUCUUUAAUCACUUCCCAUCCAACAUCACGAGGGCUCACCAGGUGUUCCACUGGCUCUGGAAUGCUGUUAUCCUAAAUAGACCCAAAGCCACAAAAUCUGGGUUUUAGGCAGGACAGUUGGAAACAUCUUGCUGUUGCCUGGAGCUUUUUCUCUUAGGCUCAGCUAACAGCUAAGAGGUGUUCCAGAGCUGACUCGUAUGGGUUCAUAAGGGCAGAUUGUUAAAUUUUCAGGAAUUUUGCAAGUCAGUUGUUCAAUUAUUGGUAGGUUAAAACUGACAUGGUGGGAAUAUUUACGCCAAGGAAAUAGGCAAACACUAAAAAUAAUGGUUUUCUCUCCCACUCACAGCUGGUUGUUAAUUGUUUACCAGUAUACUACUAUUAGUAAUGAUAAACUAUGCAGUCUACUUACUGGUUAAGCCCACAGGUUUUUAGAGCCAGGCUGAAUUGAACCAGAGUCCUAGCUUCACACUUACUAUAUUACUUAACAUUCGUUUCACCAAAUAAAAUUAAGCUUUAAAAAAGUA